ACGAUGUGUGGAGGAUGCUUGGAGGCACGUGAAGAGCAGUGUUGGCGCCAGCCCGGCGCAAUACGUGCUCGGCACAUUCGUGGACUUCAAAGGAGCAUUCGACAACGUCGAAUGGAGUGCUGCACUCAGCCGACUAGCCGACUUGGGAUGCCGGGAAAUGGGCUUGUGGCAGAGCUUUUUCUCCGGCCGAAGAGCAGUGAUCCGAAGCAGUUCCGGUACUGUGGAGGUACCGGUAACUAGAGGCUGCCCGCAGGGAUCAAUCAGCGGCCCAUUUAUCUGGGACAUACUGAUGGAUGUACUGCUUCAGCGUCUCCAGCCGUAUUGCCAGCUGAGUGCAUACGCGGAUGACUUGCUGCUUCUCGUCGAGGGAAAUUCCCGAGCUGUGCUAGAGGAAAAAGGAGCGCAACUAAUGUCCAUCGUAGAAACGUGGGGAGCGGAAGUUGGCGUUGCCGUCUCGACCAGCAAGACGGUAAUCAUGCUGCUGAAAGGUGCCUUGAGACGUGCGCCUACGGUGAGGUUUGCUGGAGCGAACCUUCCGUAUGUGCGUAGCUGUCGGUACCUUGGCAUCACGGUCAGUGAAGGAAUGAAAUUCCUCACGCACAUAGCUUCGCUUCGCCAGCGGAUGACAGGAGUCGUUGGAGCAUUGGCGCGUGUGCUUCGAGCCGACUGGGGCUUCAGUCCUCGAGCCAGGCGGACCAUAUAUGACGGACUCAUGGCACCUUGUGUGCUGUUUGGUGCCCCGGUAUGGUAUGACACCGCGGAACAAGUAGCUGCCCAGAGGCGACUAGCCUCCUGCCAGAGGCUAAUCCUGCUUGGAUGCCUUUCGGUAUGCCGAACAGUGUCCACAGUGGCACUGCAGGUACUUGGUGGAGCUCCCCCGCUUGAUCUGGCUGCUAAGUUAUUAGCGAUUAAAUACAAGCUAAAACGUGGAUUCCCGCUGGAGGAGAACGACUGGCUUUACGGCGAGGACAUUGCGUGUCUUAGCUGGGAGCAGAGGAAGACUCGCCUAGAGGAGUGUUUAAUCCAGAGUUGGCAGAACAGAUGGGACGACGACAGCGAACCAGGACGGGUGACGCAUAGGUUUAUCCCAUACGUCACUCUUGCCUAUCGGGAUCCAAGUUUUGGAUUCUCGAUGAGGACGUCUUUCCUGCUUACAGGGCACGGGUCGUUCAAUGCAUUUUUGCACGGGAGAGCCCUCAGCGAUACCACUGCUUGCGCAUGUGGAGAUCCAUAUGAGGACUGGAUGCAUAUCUUGUGCGCUUGCCCCCUAUAUGCAGAUCUGCGGGACCUAGAUGGACUUGGAGUGCAGCGCCUUGGCGAAAACUGGAUCUUCGAGGGAAUCCUGGAUGAUCAAGAGAAGACUCAACGGCUGGCAAUGUUUGCGGAAGAAGUGUUCCUGAGGAGGAGGGGCGUUUAGCUCAACAUCUCUGCCGUGUGGUUAGCGGGCGAGAAUACUACCACAGUCCGCUGUUGCUUGUCGUAAGAGACGACUAAUACAGCGAUAGGAUUCCUCUAACCCUGCUUGUCGGAGCAAAAGGGGGAGGCCCACCGAGCCUCUUUUCGGUACCACGGGUUGAGCAGCUAUCCAAGACUGCUCAUUGAGGUAGGCCCCCUGGUGGGAGUAUCGUGGUGGCUGUGGUUGGUACCCAUAUCGCGGGUAGAGCCUUCAUGCUCGACGUUUGAGUUACGGUGCUAGUUGCGCAAAACUCGGGUGCUGUGACCCAGAGAUCAGUAGAGAUUUUAGGUAGAUCUCGCUCCUCAGCAAGGGGGAGUGCUUGCCCGGCAAGCAAGUACUCGAAUUGCUACCGGGGUGGUCGCUAUGUACAUAGCUAUAGCUUCUAGUCCGGGACGCUUGUCUGGCGUAUCCAGACACAUGCACCAUAUGCUCACUUGUGGGUGUAUAGGGUGCCGUGGUUGUAAUCCCUUCAGUGUGGAACACGCCACGUAAAAUAAGUUCGGAGGGAUCCGAAAAGCAUACAUUGUCCCUAUCUACUAUCUAGCGAAACCACAGCCAAGGGAACGGGCUUGGAAUAAUUAGCGGGGAAAGAAGACCCUUUUGAGCUUGACUCUAAUCUGGCAGUGUAAGGAGACAUAAGAGGUGUAGAAUAAGUGGGAGAUAUUAGACCUCGGUUUGGUAUCGUCAAUGAAAUACCACUACUCUUAUUGUUUCCUUACUUACUUGAUUAAAUGGAACGUGUAUCAUUUCCUAGCCAUUAUACGGAUAUAUUUAUUAUAUCUUAUGGUAUUGGGUUUUGAUGCAAGCUUCUUGAUCAAAGUAUCACGAGUUUGUUAUAUAAUCGCAAACAAAUUCUUUAAUAAAACGAUGCAUUUAUGUAUUUUUGAUUUGAAAAUUUGGUAUAACUCCAAUUACUCAGGUAUGAUCCAAUUCAAGGACAUUGCCAGGUAGGGAGUUUGACUGGGGCGGUACAUCUCUCAAAUAAUAACGGAGGUGUCCCAAGGCCAGCUCAGUGCGGACAGAAACCACACAUAGAGCAAAAGGGCAAAUGCUGACUUGAUCUCGGUGUUCAGUACACACAGGGACAGCAAAAGCUCGGCCUAUCGAUCCUUUUGGUUUAAAGAGUUUUUAACAAGAGGUGUCAGAAAAGUUACCAUAGGGAUAACUGGCUUGUGGCGGCCAAGCGUUCAUAGCGACGUCGCUUUUUGAUCCUUCGAUGUCGGCUCUUCCUAUCAUUGUGAAGCAAAAUUCACCAAGCGUUGGAUUGUUCACCCAUGCAAGGGAACGUGAGCUGGGUUUAGACCGUCGUGAGACAGGUUAGUUUUACCCUACUAAUGACAAAACGUUGUUGCGACAGCAUUCCUGCGUAGUACGAGAGGAACCGCAGGUACGGACCAAUGGCACAAUACUUGUUCGAGCGAACAGUGGUAUGACGCUACGUCCGUUGGAUUAUGCCUGAACGCCUCUAAGGUCGUAUCCGUGCUGGACUGCAAUGAUAAAUAAGGGGCAAUUUGCAUUGU
rnacentral:rRNA from 1 species